AACGAACGUUGGCGGCGCGCCUAACACAUGCAAGUCGCACGAGAAAGGGAGCAAUCCCCGGUACAGUGGCGCACGGGUGAGUAACACGUGGAUAAUCUUCCCUUGGGCGGGGGAUAACCUUCCGAAAGGAGGGCUAAUACCGUAUAAGACCACAGCGAGUUCGCUCGCAGGGGUCAAAGCUGGCCUCUUCAUGAAAGCUAGCACCUAAGGAUGAGUCCGCGUCCCAUCAGCUAGUUGGUAGUGUAAAAGACUACCAAGGCGAAGACGGGUAGCUGGUCUGAGAGGAGGAUCAGCCACACUGGAACUGAGACACGGUCCAGACUCCUACGGGAGGCAGCAGUGGUGAAUCUUGCGCAAUGGGCGAAAGCCUGACGCAGCGACGCCGCGUGGGUGAUGAAGGCCCUCGGGUUGUAAAGCCCUGUGGGGAGGGACGAAUAAGUCGUGGCUAAUAUCCACGAUGAUGACGGUACCUCCUUAGCAAGCACCGGCUAACUCUGUGCCAGCCGCCGCGGUAA
rnacentral:rRNA from 1 species